GGAGAGACAUACAAGAAGCAGCCACUCACGUCCUGCCUCUCCAUCUCUCCACAUCUCUGAAGGCUGCGGGACUACACCAGAUGUCUCCUAAAGCAAACUGAGUGGCCACUUGUCCUGCGUCACAGACUUCAGCACGCUCUUCUUGAAGCUGUCCUGGGCAUCUCCCGUAUCAAAACUUCAUACUAGAUGAAACAGACUUUCUCACGGUUAAAGAUGAUGUCCAUCUCGCACAUGCUGGGCAAGUAUUUGUCCAGGAGCUCACCACCUCGGUGAGUCAGCUCCAGCAUGAGAAGCUCAUUGUCCCGGCGCUCAAAGGCGCAGCAGAGGUAGAGGCUGGCAUAUCUUUUAUAGACGAUUUUAAGGUCUGUUCUCUCCAGGAAGCCGCACACCAUGAGCUUGCAAGCCAGAACGCCCGCGUAAGUUCUCAAGCCACCUUAUUUCGUUGUUUGUCUGACAAGGCCAUGUACCACUGUAGCAGCCGCAACUCCUCCAGCCCGCCGAACAGUUUCAAGAAUCCCAUUAACUUGCAGCCGGCUGCUCUGCAUGUCCCUCUUCAGCCACCGUAGGCGCUCAAUCCUCUCCACAUCUUUUUUUUUUCUUCCUGGCGUGAAGCCUUGUCUGUGCCAGAAACUUUGUUUGAAGCCUCCUACGCGUGCGGGAGAGUUUCCAAGACGUCUGGUUGAAAGCAGUGAAAGGAAGAAGAGAGGGAUGGUUUUUAUCCACGCUUAAUUCUCUGUGUAUUGCUGGGGUAGUGUUGGCACGCAAUAAGGAAUCCCCAUGGAGAUUUUCAGGAAUUGAUGGUCAAGGUCAUGUGGACCAGAAGCUCCUUUCUCUCAGGAGAGUCAUCUUCCAGGGAAUUUUACCAAGGGAUAUAUCAACAUGAUAUUUUUUUUGUGUGUGUUAACCAUGAUGUAAUACAUUCUUCAAAUCUGGAGACUCAAUUUUACCUAUGGAUCAGGUAAGUAAUCUUUAAAUAAGAUUUUUUUUCAUCUCAUUCUGUUCUGUUUUAUUCUUUUAGAAUGUCUACUAUUGGAGUACCUGGGUGGUUUAGUCAUUUAAGGUCUGACUCUUGAUUUCUGCUUAGGUCAUGAUCCCAGGGUCAUGAGAUCGAGCCUUGUGUUGAGCUCUGCCCUGAACAUGGAGCCUGAUUGAGAUUCUCUAUCUCUCCCUCUGCCCCUCU